GGGGGGAACACCGCUGAAAAUUACUAUGUGGGAUUAGCACUGGAUGGGGAAGCAUAGAGUGAGCGAGAUAAAAAUGCCAUUUAUGGGAAUAUGCUUUACCCACACACUAAUUUGACGAAGAGUUGAUAUGGGUUUUACAACUCCACUGUUACGGGUAAAAGCUCCAGCUUUAAGGGGCAAACGUAAACGCAACAGUGUAAAAGGUUUUGCUGAGCGAGAUUGUUUGUCUAACAAAUUGUAGCGAUAAUUAAUCGGAAACACAAACCGUAUUCAUGACAGCAUACGAUUAUGUAACCGGUAACGGUGGUUGCUGGAUACGCGUAUUGUGAUAUAUUGUUGUCCCACCCCCCCCUUCCUCCCCCACAGACUACCCUCAUUACCAUAAUUGCCCUAAUUGGGUAGCAUAUGUUUCGAUGCUGGUCGAUAGCGAGCCCCACAGCGGCUAAGGGCUAAGGGAGAGCCAUAAAACAAGACACACUUUGUGUUGGCGAGGCGAGGCACGUGUUACCGUCGAAAAACAUAACCGAAUGGAUGCAGUGGAUGAAACAUGGAUUUUUUUAGGAGAAUUCUAAAAAUAUUUUAAUAACAAAAUAGCAAGGGAAAGUUUUGGUAUGAAUAUUUGGAACGUUUUGUGAUGCUUUUUUUUUAAAGCAAACUGCAUUGAACCCUUCAAGGGGCCUACAAUAAUACAAACUAUUCCACAACAGUAGUGCCUGUCAGGAACGAAACUUUUUCUUUCAAAUAAAAACGAACAGUCAAAGUAAAGGACUAAACAAAUCCAAUGCGUGCCCAACCGAAAGCAUCCAAAAGCCUCCCAACAAUGAACUUGUAAGUGAACCGAUCAAUGCCUCAAAAAUCUAGAGAAAAAAUACACCAAUAACGAAAGCUGAAAGAGCAGUGGGCAAAAAUAAAAAUAACAGCAUAUCGAACUCGUUUUCCCUAUUAAGCUUGCACAAAGCCACCGGUACGCUUCACCGGAUAGCGAGAUUUGAAUACCGGAUUGAGGCACGGUCGGCCACGGCGGCAUGAUACACUGGUGGGAUGAACACAAAAGUCGUUCGAGGUUUUGCUGAAGCAACACAGAGCAACAACUACAAAAAAAAAGAAUGGCAGGAAUGGAAGAAGGAAAAAAAAGCGCUCAGAACACAGCGUAGACAACGAAACCCGGAGUGGCUUGGUUAUUGUGAUCCAGAGGAUUUGUACCCGUCGAAUGUGCUGGCGUGGCGAAAGUCGCACGGUAACAAGCGAACGGUGUAAAAAAAAGAACAUUGAGUGGAGAAUGAUUUUUUCUAAAAAAAAACAUAGUAGGCAUAGAGACGAAACCUACAGGGAUGCAUCACACGGAAGUGAUACUUUUCGGGGAAGUUUGAAAGUCAAUUAACGAUCUAGUAGCCAAUCGGCUAGCUCGCGCUACAGAAAGGAUAAAGCUUGAAAGCUCGCGAUAGCCAUUUCGGACUUUUGCAUUUAAAGGAACAUAUUUUUAGGCUCUAAAUUGGUAAAUUGUAUAAUAGUGCUUUGAAAAUUAUUCCUAAAAGUCAUAAAAAAGGGGAAAAAGCGAAGGCCGCCAUUUUUGUGUCUAGUGUUGCUGUUGUCAAAAUUCUUUCUCUCCACCGGUAGCAGCCCCCAAGUGUUUCGAGGUCCAUGAUUCCGAGCACGUAGCAGUAUGAUUUUAUUAUUAUCAUUACCAUAAUAUAAUCGCUUUCCGUGAGUUAUUCGUGGCGUGCAAAAAAGUAAACAUCGAAAAGGAAUCAUGAGAAGUGGCUGGAACGGUUCGGUGGAGGGAUGGGGGGACAAAGAACGAGAAACCAAACAGGCGCAAAGAAGUGGCGCAGGCAAGCCUUUGUUGCGCAGGAGGAAAAUUUUAGGGCCGGAAAAUGGCACACUUUCGCACAAAAUUCUUUCGCCCCCAAAACUUAACUGAGGCUGUGCGGAUUUUCAAUCUGGCACGGUUGGAAAAUUAGAUUCAAUUCGUUUGCUGUUCGUUGCUGCGGCGGAAUCUGGUUCGUGUGAACAGACCCCCUCUCCCCGUCCCUUGUUACAAGACGUUGAGAGCAAACGGUAGACCAAGCAACAAAAAACGCACGCCGGAAAACUUCCCUUGCCAGCCUGUAGAGCCUGCCCGCUUUGGCACGAUCGGCACGAAGUCCUUCCGCGAAACGGUGGCUGCUGGAAGUUUACUUGUAAGCGGGUGCAAAACAGGAGCCGGAAAGUGAAAAGGAGAAUGAUAAAACUAUUACCAACCGAAAUCGGAAUUCGGUAGCAGCUGUUCAGAAAAUGCUGCCGAGCGAUGUGGUUGGCGAGGAAAGUUGGUUUGGGAUUAGUUUUGGAAUGGAAAAUGGAAAAUCCCUGCAGAGGCGUUAGAAGCCAAUUAUAAAUAUUGUUAGUAUAAAAGCGAAAGUGAGGGAUAAUUAUAAAAGCGAAUCGUUUGCGCAGAAAAAGGUGAAGCAAAAGCGAUACACACUUUCUCAAUAUAGCGAAUAAGAACAAUUUUUGACGACGGAUGACGUAAGUGUAAUAUAAAUUGUUAAAGUUGAGCAAAAAUAGUCGAAAAACAAGUAAAUAAUUGUACUGUUUAGACACACAAUAAAUCAACAAAGUGAUGUGGUCC